AAGUCGUAACAAGGUUUCCGUAGGUGAACCUGCGGAAGGAUCAUUAACACGUUUCCAAACGUUUUAACUACCAAACAACUGCGUGAACUGUACCCCUCCCUACCAUUCUCUAUGCGUCAGCUGCAUCUAACACUCAUUGUGGAUCGAUUGUGUGUACCUCGGUACGCCUUCGGAGUGGCGCUGACUGGCAGGCCGUUGAGCCAGCACAUAGGUUAUGACUAGGCUAUUUUUCAUUCCACAGCAAUAUUAACCCCUUCUUAUAUCGACGCUAGCUCGUCGUGACUUUUGACUAAUGCUGACCUAUGUUGGGCAUUGAGCCUUCGGGUGAUGUGUUCCAGCCUUAGGUUGAGUUAUGUAUAUAACAAAGCACAACUCUUAGCAACGGAUAUCUUGGUUCUC
rnacentral:misc_RNA from 1 species